CCUACGGGUGGCAGCAGUGAGGAAUAUUGGUCAAUGGCCGGAAGGCUGAACCAGCCAUGCCGCGUGAAGGUCAGUGCCCUAUGGGUUGUAAACCUCUUUUGUCGGGGAGCAAAAGCCGGACGUGUCCGGCUGUGAGAGUACCCGCAGAUAAAGCAUCGGCUAACUCCGUGCCAGCACCCGCGGUAAUAGGGGGGAUGCGAGCGUUAUCCGGAUUUAUUGGGUUUAAAGGGUGCGCAGGCGGAUUUUUAAGUCAGCGGUCAAAUCGUGGGGCUCAACCCCAUCCAGCCGUUGACACUUGGGAUCUAGAGUGUGCGAGAGGUAUGCGGAAUGCGUGGUGUAGCGGUGAAAUGCAUAGAUAUCACGCAGAACCCCGAUGGCGAAGGCAGCAUACCGGUGCACAACUGACGCUCAGGCACGAAGGCGUGGGUAUCGAACAGGAUUAGAUACCCGAGUAGUC
rnacentral:rRNA from 1 species